UACGAAGGGGGCUAGCGUUGUUCGGAAUUACUGGGCGUAAAGGGCGCGUAGGCGGUACUUCAAGUCAGGCGUGAAAGCCCCGGGCUCAACCUGGGAACCGCGCUUGAGACUGGAGAACUAGAGUUCGGGAGAGGAUGGUGGAAUUCCCAGUGUAGAGGUGAAAUUCGUAGAUAUCGGGAAGAACACCGAUGGCGAAGGCAGCCAUCUGGACCGACACUGACGCUGAGGUGCGAAAGCGUGGGGAGCAAACAGG
rnacentral:rRNA from 1 species